rnacentral:rRNA from 1 species
GACGAACGCUGGCGGCGUGCCUGACACAUGCAAGUCGGACGGUCCGUGAUUGAUCAAGCUUGCUUGAUUGGUUGUGGAUAGUGGCGGACGGGUGAGUAACGCGUGAACACCUACCCAUUGGAGGGGUACAACCCGUCGAAAGGCGGGCUAAUACCGCGUAAGCCGUGAGGUGAAAGGCUGCUUUUUGGUGGCUGCCGAUGGAUGGGUUCGCGUCCUAUCAGCUGGUUGGUGGGGUAACGGCCUACCAAGGCUAAGACGGGUAGCCGGUCUGAGAGGAUGGCCGGCCACACUGGAACUGAGACACGGUCCAGACUCCUACGGGAGGCAGCAGUGAGGAAUAUUGGACAAUGGAUGGAAAUCUGAUCCAGCCAUGCCGCGUGCAGGAAGACGGCCCUAUGGGUUGUAAACUGCUUUUGUAUGGGAGCAAUAAGGUCUAUGCGUAGACUGAUGAGAGUACCAUACGAAUAAGCAGUCGACUAACCUCGUCGACG